ensembl:lncRNA
AGAGCUCUGCAAUUUCUAUUUGGUCCUUUAGACGUUAUGGGAAAGUUCUCUCUUACUCCUUCUACCCCUCCCUCCCUCUGAAUAUCUCCUUCUCAUGUGCUUGGAAUAUGCUCAGGCUUUACUCAGAGCAACCGAAGCACGCCUAAUGAACUGAGUGAGUAUAAGCGGCAAUUUUAAACGAAGGGACGAUAUUUGGGGGACUGUCCGCCUGGUCCCACACAGCAUGUCUCCUAUCUGGGAUGAUUUCUGAUAGCUGAUGAGGACUGCAGUGAUGCUUCUUGCGCAGACUGAGAAAGCGAGAGAGGAGUCAUCUGCCAUCAGACAGACUGAAAGAAAGACCGUAACGACGGAUCAGCUCGUGUGUUAUUUAGGAUCCCUGCAGAUCGUAGAGGUGAGUGAGAUCUGUCAUUUCACAUCUGGCUGUCCGUCCCCCCCACCACCCCCUUUGGCAUGCUUGGUCAUAUCUCAAGAAGCGCUCAACACGAAUCACGGAAUUCUUACCUCAGCCAAUUUAUAGUCUGAAAGAGUUUUGGCCCCAGAUGUCCUUAAGACGUUAUGAGUGACAUUGCGUCUGUCAAACGCUGAUCGAAUGAGACAAAAAGAAACACUGUGCAAAUGGAAUGGCCUGACCCACAUUCUGUGGCGUUAUCCAUUCCUCUGAAGAAGCCGAAAGGCCAUUUACAAAGGUAACCCAGUGAUGGUACCUGAUGUGAAAGAUUUCUUAUAGUUUUUGGUACAUGUACAUUAUUUUCUGCUCAGAUGGGUGGGCACUGAAGGAAUUUUAAUCAUGAGUGCUUCAAUCCACAGAUGCGAAAUGAUAUGGUUUAUAAAGUCCUGCGUGGUGUGUAAAUGGGAGUGUGUGGAACAUGUGAGUCAUGUUCUUUAAUAUAAGUGUCUUGUUUCUGUCACUAUUGUAGGCCUCCAUACAGUUCCAUUCUUUGUCCUUGAACAUCGGUUUCUGCUCUACCAGUGUUAGAUACCUCCCCAGGGAAAAGGGCAGCCCUGCAAGAGCAGUUAGCGGGUGAGGCAUUAAGGAAGGGACUCCACGACACUCGAGUCUGACUUGGGGCGAUCGGAGACCCACUUUCUGCCAGUGCCAGUCUCCUGGGGGUAGCCUUGCUUUCACAUGAAAUCUUUUUUUGGGGGGGCGCAGGGAAGAGGACGGAAAUGUCAGAGAUUUUGAGAUUUUCUUUCAUGCAAAUGGCGUUGUUCUGGAGACGGUAGUGCAAGUAGUCUAGCGUUAGCCCCCUCUAUCUAGUAGUGCAUGUAGUCUAGCGUUAGCCCUUCUGUCUAGUAGUGCAUGUAGUCUAGCGUUAGCCCUUCUGUCUAGUAGUGCAUGUAGUCUAGCGUUAGCCCCCUCUGUCUAGAAAUGCAAGUAGUCUAGUUUUAGCCCUUCUGUCUAGUAGUGCAUGUAGUCUAGCGUUAGCCCUUCUGUCUAGUAGUGCAUGUAGUCUAGCGUUAGCCCUUCUGUCUAGUAGUGCAUGUAGUCUAGCGUUAGCCCCCUCUGUCUAGAAAUGCAAGUAGUCUAGCUUUAGCCCUUCUGUCUAGUAGUGCAUGUAGUCUAGCGUUAGCCCUUCUGUCUAGUAGUGCAUGUAGUCUAGCGUUAGCCCCCUCUGUCUAGUAGUGCAUGUUGUCUAGCGGUAGCCCUCUCUAUCUAGUAGUGCAUGUAGUCUAGCGUUAGCCCCCUCUGUCUAGAAAUGCAAGUAGUUUAGCGUUAGCCCCCUCUGUCUUGUAGUGCAUGUAGUCUAGCAUUAGCCCCCUCUGUCUGAGGUAACUGAGAACUCCGGGACAGAUAACAGCAAUGCCAAGUAACUUAGUGGACACGCACACACACACACACGCACAAACUUUGGAAUAAUGAAAUGUGCUUGUAGUUUGACGAUACUUUAGCUCCAGAUGGGUAAAUGUGUCAAGUCAGCACAAGGAAGAUGCUGGGAGGCAAACUGGAAGAGAGCUCAGAUCAACUGCCACAAACAGCCAGGGAGUCAGGCAGGCAGGGAGGGAGUUAGGAGAAGGAGGGAGAGAGGCAGUGGAUGGAGGCAGAGAGGGGAAGGAAGGAGGGAAGGAGGCAGCAAGAGUUGCAUGAAUGAAUGUUAUGGGGUUGUGUUUUAGCAACAAUAAACAGUAUUUCAGUGCGCUGUACUGUGGCCUGCAGUCCUGCCCUGUGGUAAACCGAAACAUCCCAAGAAGACAGUAAACACAACAUUCAGCUGUGAUGUGUCUCUCUUGAACCUCCGUUAGCCUUGGCUGCUGUAGCAACCUGGUUCACAGAGUAGUUCCAUGUUGGGCGCACAAAAGCUAGCACUCACCAGUUCUUAAGAGCAGCCUCUAUGUAGUUUCCGGAAACAUGAUAGGAUAAUACCUUGUUGGAGGAAGGGAGUGUCGGGUGAACGGAUGGCGGGGGUGGGCUUGGACAGGGGAUCUUAACCCAGGUUGCAGUGGGUGUAAGUGGGAUCUGAUAAGGCGUUCCCCAGCUCCGCGGCUCUACGAGAGAAGAAUAAGCGGCUGUGGCACACAGACACACCCAGGCCUUGUGUCCUGAGCACAAAACCUUGUUGUAUUAUCGGCUUCUUAGGAUAUCUUGUAAGACAAUACAUGUGAGAAGGCCAGGGGAACAAUGUGUGAAGGCGCAGGGUGAUGUGAAGGGACCUCAGGUCAGGGGUCAUUGUUAGCGCCCUUUGUUGCUAUCCAGUAUUGGAAAAUGGAACUGCGCAGACCUGAUGUUUUUAAGUAGAGAAAUGUAGAAAGAGAUAUUCUUCAUACUUUUCACUGGUGUGUGUGUGUGUGUUAUGCUGUUCUUGUUAAUUAUAUGUUGAGUUGAACAGUCGGUUUGAAACACAAUAUACAGUAUACUGUAUUAGAAAAUAAACACACAUAGCUGACUGCUGGGGAAGAGAAGGAAAAUGCAAUUCAUUGCCUUGGGUGUGACAGCAAUGCCCCAUCCAAGUUCAAAGUUUAACCAUGAAUAGCUGAACAUGUACAGCAUUUGGACAUAAAUUAUGUUGUUGAACUAAUAGUCUGUGUUUGUCUCUUCCAGGUGGCCAAUCUACUUGGGUUCCCCUUUUCUGUUGUCUCUCGUGGAGGGAGAGAGAACAUCAGCUUACACAUCCAUUGAGAUGCAGUCUGCAGAUGGAGACGUUCCAGAAAACAACUAUUUAUUAUCAGCCUCCACACACCUGUUGAACAUGCACAGAAACCUCAAAACAUGCACUCCCAUUGUUUAAACCGAGGGUUUUUAUUUUUGCUUUGUGAUUUAAAUGUGUAUUUUGUGAAUUCUUAAGAAUCUGUAUAGUGCAACAUCAUUCUGUUAUUCUGAUUUGUAAAAGUCUGUCUUCAGGAUUCAGGAUUUACAAUGAACUGGUAUGUCAAAAUGGAUCCUGCAGAUCAUUUCAUCUCUAUCAACAUUUAUUAAAUUAAUUAAAAUGAUAAACCAUAAAGGGAAUAUGUCCACUGUAAGAACCACUUACACCACUGUACAUUUUCUAAAUGAACGGAAUAAAAAAUAUUCACUAAGAUCUUUUUUUGUUUCGGAGCUUUUUGAGGAUUAUUAAUUUCCCGCUAGAUUAACAGCAUGUUUAAAAUAUUUCUGCGGUGUGUUCCUUGGGCAGGAUUCACUUCUCUGUGGGUGCUAAAUCCUGG